AUGCAUUCGUCCAUGUGAAACAUAAAACCAAGAUGACCAACAUACCUAAGUGGAUUCCGUAAAAAUGAGCCAUAUUUCUAAUUAAAUCUUCUGCGUUGUUGUCUCGAAUGCAGGGAAUGCUGUGUCUUGCCAUUGACGAUUUGUCGCUUUUUAUAGGCAGAUGGAAGCCGUACAUUUGACAGCGAUUGGUAUGCACUAUUCCUGUUAAAAUGAAGCCACUAUUUAAUGUUUCAACAGGUGUGCUACACGUGGAAGCAAAUAGAUGCUCAUGUUAUGAAGACUUUUCCCCCUUAUUGUUCCAUUUCGAUGUUCAAUUGUGCGGGUGUGCUGCCAACGCAUAUUUAAUUCUGCUUAUUUGACUGUUUGAAUUAGGAAAUGUGUGCGGCAGUUGCAAUGCGCAAAUCUUUACUUCGGGACUACAUGAUAUCAUUGCCGUGAACCGUUUGCUGAACUCUACGCCCUGUCUAUAACCCUCCUCUGAACUACACCGCACAAAGUAAUUUGCAGCGAACAUAUUUACAUUUCAUCGCAAACAAACCUGUCAUUUACAUGGAAAUGUGUGCGGCAGUUGCAAUGCGCAAAUCUUACUUCGGGAUAUACUACAUGAUAUCUCGGUGAACCCAUUUCUGAACUCAACUACACCGCACACAGCUUUCACAGCAUUUACUGACUAACACAUCUGCGCUCGUUUUGAAUCGCAACUCUUCAAAAUAGCGGCCAUUGCGUUCUUCUGCUUUUGAUUGUUGCGACCUGAAGGAAAGUUGUCUUUUGAAAUCGCAAGAUGGUGCCAGGUUAAGCUUCAAAACAAGAUUUUGGCGGAAACUGAGUCUCCAUGAAUCUCAAAGAAGCCAGGGAAAUCGCGCGACAGAUGGGAAGAAGCACGUUGCAAUAGCAUUGCUGUUAAUAAUCGGAAAAGGAAAAGAAAUAUGGUAGAAAAACCAAACACUCACGUGCUGCUUUUAGUGGAUGUUCAAGUUGUCUUCCAGUUUCUUGGGCCAGAGGGAGGAAUUUGUUACUGCGGUACAAGCCUAAAGAAAUAAAGAAUCUUCCAACCAGAUUGUGGCAUAACCAACUGGCAUGAAACAACCUAUAGUCCACGGUGCAUGCCAGAAAGGAAGGAUUGAUUACUGGUGUAUUGAGUGGGCUGGUGUAAACAUCUAACAAUCUGGUAAAAAGAGUGGGGUAAAGACAAUGUUGUAUGAGUAAUUUAAUAUUGGUGUCAAAGCCUUUAAAAAUAUUUGCCAAUGCUUCCCCAUUGUCAACCAGAACAACUAACAGUGUAAAACUAGGAUUCUUCAAAUGAUUGUUAGUGUAUUUAAUCUGGAAAUGCUCCAACCUACAACUGCUCAAGGUAUUCUUUUUUAGAUUUAUUUUAUUCUCAAACCACGCUUCAAAUGGUAAUGUGGACAAGGAAAUAAUACCUCCACUCAUUUAAUAGGUUUU